rnacentral:rRNA from 1 species
GAUGAACGCUGGCGGCGUGCUUAACACAUGCAAGUCGAGCGGGCAAUUUAUCUAGCACUGAUUACUUCAAAUGGAAAUCAUAAGUGUAAUCAUGAAUUUCUACCUUUAAUAAAGAAAAAAGAAAUUCAUGUACGCAAAUAGUGAUAACACAUUUUAGUGAAGUGAUGAGUGCUGGAUAAAUUGCUAGCGGCGGACGGGUGCGUAACACGUGGGUAACCUGCCCCUAUCACUGGGAUAACACACUGAAAAGUGUGCUAAUACCAGAUAAUAUAAGCUUUUGGCAUCAUUAGCUUAUCAAAGAAUUUCGGAUAGGGAUGGGCCCGCGUCUGAUUAGCUAGUUGGUGAGGUAACGGCUCACCAAGGCAACGAUCAGUAGCCGACCUGAGAGGGUGAUCGGCCACACU